rnacentral:rRNA from 1 species
AGUGAACGCUGGCGGUGCGCCUAACACAUGCAAGUCGAGUGGGUUCAGACCCACGGCGAACGGCUGCGUAACACGUUGGUACCUACCCCGGACUCAGGGAUAUCCCGCCGAAAGGUGGAGUAAUACCGGAUGCCCCCGCACGCGCAAGCGCUGCGGGGAAAGGAUUUAUUCGGUCUGGGAAGGGCCUGCGGCCUAUCAGGUAGUUGGUAAGGUAACGGCUUACCAAGCCUAUGACGGGUAGCUGAUUUGAGAGAAUGAUCAGCCAGAAUGGAACUGAGACACGGUCCAUACUCCUACGGGAGGCAGCAGUGAGGAAUCUUCCGCAAUGGGCGAAAGCCUGACGGAGCGACACCGCGUGAAGGAUGAAGUCCUUUUU